rnacentral:rRNA from 1 species
GACGAAGGGCCCGGGUGUUAUUCGUUUUGAUUGGGUGUAAAGGGUAUGUAGGCGGCGCAUCACAGAUUCCAAGUUAAAGCGCAGAGUGUUCCUUUGCGAGAGCUCGGUUUUGAAGGGUGAGCUAGUGUUGAAGGGAGGUUUAGGCAAAUCCGUGGGUAAGGGUAGAAUCUCGCGAGCUUCGGAUGAACGCCAGUCGGCAAAGGCUCUUUUCUUGAUUCAACAGACGCUGAGGUACGGAAGCGCAGGGAGCAAACGGG